AGUGAACGCUGGCGGCAGGCCUAACACAUCCAAGUCGAACGGCAGCACAAGAGCGCUUGCUCUCUGGGUGGCGAGUGGCGGACGGGUGAGGAAUGCAUCGGAAUCUGCCCAUUUGUGGGGGAUAACCUCGGGAAACCGGGACUAAUACCGCAUACGACCUACGGGUGAAAGCAGGGGAUCUUCGGACCUUGCGCAGAUGGAUGAGCCGAUGCCGGAUUAGCUAGUUGGAGGGGUAAAGGCCCACCAAGGCGACGAUCCGUAGCUGGUCUGAGAGGAUGAUCAGCCACACUGGGACUGAGACACGGCCCAGACUCCUACGGGAGGCAGCAGUGGGGAAUAUUGGACAAUGGGCGCAAGCCUGAUCCAGCCAUGCCGCGUGUGUGAAGAAGGCCUUCGGGUUGUAGAGCACUUUUGUUGGGAAAGAAAAGCAGCCGGUUAAUACCCGGUUGUCAUGACGGUACCCAAAGAAUAAGCACCGGCUAACUUCGUG
rnacentral:rRNA from 1 species